rnacentral:rRNA from 1 species
CGGAUUAGAUACCCGGGUAGUCCACGCCGUAAACGAUGGAUACUAGCUGUUGGAGGUAUCGACCCCUUCAGUAGCGAAGCUAACGCGUUAAGUAUCCCGCCUGUGGAGUACGGCCGCAAGGCUAAAACAUAAAGGAAUUGACGGGGACCCGCACAAGCGGUGGAUUAUGUUCUUUAAUUCGAUGAUAACCGAAGAACCUUACCAGGGCUUGACAUCCAGGGAAGGUCUGCGAAAGUAGACUGUGCCUUUUGGAACCCUGUGACAGGUGAUGCAUGGCCGUCGUCAGCUCGUGUCGUGAGAUGUUAGGUUAAGUCCUUCAACGAGCGCAACCCUUGUGAAUAGUUGUAUUUUUCUAUUCAGACUGCCCCGGUAACGGGGAGGAAGGAGGGGAUGAUGUCAGGUCAGUAUUUCCCUUACGUCCUGGGCUAGAAACGUAAUACAAUGGCUAGUACAAUGCGCANGCGAANGCCGCGAGGUGAAGCAAAUCGCAUCAAAGCUAGUCCCAGUUCGGAUUGUAGGCUGAAACUCGCCUGCAUGAAGUCGGAAUCGCUAGUAAUCGCAAAUCAGCAAGUUGCGGUGAAUACGUUCCCGGGUCUUGUACACACCGCCCGUCAAACCAUGAAANGUGACCAACACCCGAAGUCCGAUUCGUCGGCCUAAGGUGGGGGGCAUGAUUGGGGUU